GACGAACGCUGGCGGCGUGCUUAACACAUGCAAGUCGAACGAUGAAGCUAGAGCUUGCUCUGGUGAAUUAGUGGCGAACGGGUGAGUAACACGUGAGUAACCUGCCCCGAACUCUGGGAUAACUGCUGGAAACGGUAGCUAAUACUGGAUACGACCUACGAAGGCAUCUUCUGUAGGUGGAAAGAAUUUCGGUUCGGGAUGGACUCGCGGCCUAUCAGCUUGUUGGUGAGGUAAUGGCUCACCAAGGCGACGACGGGUAGCCGGCCUGAGAGGGUGACCGGCCACACUGGGACUGAGACACGGCCCAGGCUCCUACGGGAGGCAGCAGUGGGGAAUAUUGCACAAUGGGCGCAAGCCUGAUGCAGCAACGCCGCGUGAGGGAUGACGGCCUUCGGGUUGUAAACCUCUUUUAGCAGGGAAGAAGCGAAAGUGACGGUACCUGCAGAAAAAGCACCGGCUAACUACGUGCCAGCAGCCGCGGUAA
rnacentral:rRNA from 1 species